rnacentral:rRNA from 1 species
AUUGAACGCUGGCGGUAUGCCUAACACAUGCAAGUCGAACGAGGUAGCAAUACCUAGUGGCGGACGGGUGAGGAAUACGUAGGGAUCUGCCCUUAAGUGGGGGAUAACCCGGGGAAACCCGGAUUAAUACCGCAUGAUCUCGCAAGAGCAAAGAGGGGGACCGCAAGGCCUCUCGCUUUUGGAGGAACCUACGUCGGAUUAGCUAGUUGGUGAGGUAAUGGCUCACCAAGGCGACGAUCCGUAACUGGUCUGAGAGGAUGAUCAGUCACACCGGAACUGAGACACGGUCCGGACUCCUACGGGAGGCAGCAGUGGGGAAUAUUGGACAAUGGGCGAAAGCCUGAUCCAGCAAUACCGCGUGUGUGAAGAAGGCCUCGGUCGUAAGACGACUUAA